AUGUUUCUCGGUGAUAAUUUGAUCUCAUGGUCUUCUCGACGACAAACCACAGUUUCUUGUUCUAGUGCAGAGGCUGAAUAUCGCGCCGUGGCUGCUGUUGUGGCCGAGUCUUGUUGGGUUCGUCACUUACUUCAGGAGCUCCAUCGACCUAUCAGCACUGCUACAGUUGUUUUUUGUGACAAUGUGAGCGCGGUAUAUCUUGCUCAUAACCCGGUACAACAUCGACGAACCAAACACAUUGAGCUUGACAUUCAUUUUGUCCGCGAGAAAGUUGCUCUUGGUGCUGUUCGAGUUCUGCAUGUUCCUUCUUCGUCACAGUACGCGGAUAUAUUCACAAAAGGUCUUCCAGCUGUAUUGUUUCAUGAGUUCCGGUCCAGUCUUCACCUCGCUCCACUACGAGGCUCAGACUACGGGGGCGUGUUGGAGAGUCCUGCAUCCCGACAAUUAGCUGUGCCGUAUCCUGCUGAUAAUGCCCAUCAUCCAAGUAUGUUUAGACUACCAAAUAUGGCUUGA
rnacentral:rRNA from 1 species